UACAGGGGGGGCAAGCGUUGUUCGGAAUUACUGGGCGUAAAGGGCCAGUAGGCGGCCAACUAAGUCCGACGUGAAAUCCCCAAGCUUAACUUGGGAACUGCGUCGGAUACUGGAUGGCUUGAAUUCGGGAGAGGGAUGGCAGAAUUCAGGUGUAGCGGUGAAAUGACGUAGAUAUCGAGGAGGAACACCGGUGGUGCAGCACGGCUCUCGUG
rnacentral:rRNA from 1 species